AAUCAACGCUGGCGGCGUGCCUCAGACAUGCAAGUCGAACGCGAAAGGCCCCUUCGGGGGCCCGGUAGAGUGGCGCACGGGUGAGUAACACGUAGGUAAUUUGCCUUCGGGUGGGAAUAACAGCCGGAACGGCUGCUAAUACCGCAUAAUGCAGCGGCUCGACAUCGAGACAGUUGUUAAAGCGGGGGAUCGCAAGACCUCGCGCCUGAAGAGAAGCCUGCGGCAGAUUAGCUUGUUGGUGAGGUAAUGGCUCACCAAGGCGACGAUCUGUAACCGGCCUGAGAGGGCGGUCGGUCACACUGACACUGACAUAC
rnacentral:rRNA from 1 species